GAUGAACGCUGGCGGCGUGCCUAAUACAUGCAAGUCGAGCGAACAGACGAGGAGCUUGCUCCUCUGACGUUAGCGGCGGACGGGUGAGUAACACGUGGAUAACCUACCUAUAAGACUGGGAUAACUUCGGGAAACCGGAGCUAAUACCGGAUAAUAUAUUGAACCGCAUGGUUCAAUAGUGAAAGACGGUUUUGCUGUCACUUAUAGAUGGAUCCGCGCCGCAUUAGCUAGUUGGUAAGGUAACGGCUUACCAAGGCAACGAUGCGUAGCCGACCUGAGAGGGGGAUCGGCCACACUGGAAUUGAGACACGGUCCAGACUCCUACGGGAGGCAGCAGUAGGGAAUCUUCCGCAAGGGGCGAAAGCUUGACGGAGCAACGCAGCGUGAGGGAUGAAGGUCGUCGGAUCGUAAAACGCUGUUAUUAGGGAAGAACAAAUGUGUAAGUAACUAUGCACGUCUUGAGGGAACCUAAUCAGAAAGCCACGGCUAACUACGU
rnacentral:rRNA from 1 species